GAUUCCAAAGAAUUUGUGAAG
rnacentral:snRNA from 1 species